GAUGAAGAACGUAGCGAAAUGCGAUAAGUAAUGUGAAUUGCAGAAUUCAGUGAAUCAUCGAGUCUUUGAACGCACAUUGCGCCCCCUGGUAUUCCGGGGGGCAUGCCUGUCCGAGCGUCAUUGCCGCCCUCAAGCACGGCUUGUGUGUUGGGCCCCCGCCCCCCUGCUUCGGGGGGCGGGCCCGAAAGGCAGCGGCGGCACCGCGUCCGGUCCUCGUGCGUAUGGGGCUUCGUCACCCGCUCUGUAGGCCCGGCCGGCGCCCGCCGGCGACCCCAAUCAAUCUUUCCAGGUUGACCUCGGAUCAGGUAGGGAUACCCGCUGAACUUAAGCAUAUCAAUAAGCGGAGGA
rnacentral:misc_RNA from 1 species